AUUCAAAUAGCUUAUAAAUUAGAGUAUAGCAUUGAAGAUGCUAGGGAGAUUAUUUAAAUCUUUGAAUA
rnacentral:tRNA from 1 species